CUCCUUCGGGAGUGAUUAAGUGGCGCACGGGUGAGGAACGCGUAGGUAAUCUACCCUUUGGCGGGGGACAACAUUCCGAAAGGAAUGCUAAUACCGCGUAAGACCACACUCACUACGGUGAGAGCGGUUAAAGGUGCCUCAAAGCACCACCAGAGGAUGAGCCUGCGUCCCAUCAGCUUGUUGGUAAGGUAAUGGCUUACCAAGGCGAAGACGGGUAGCUGGUCUGAGAGGAUGAUCAGCCACACUGGCACUGGAACACGGGCCAGACUCC
rnacentral:rRNA from 1 species